rnacentral:rRNA from 1 species
UACGAAGGGGACUAGCGUUGUUCGGAAUUACUGGGCGUAAAGCGCACGUAGGCGGAUUUGUUAGUCAGGGGUGAAAUCCCGGGGCUCAACCUCGGAACUGCCUUUGAUACUGCAAGUCUCGAGUCCGAUAGAGGUGGGUGGAAUUCCUAGUGUAGAGGUGAAAUUCGUAGAUAUUAGGAAGAACACCGGUGGCGUAGGCGGCUUCCUGGGCCAAUACUGACGCUGAUGCGCGAAAGCCAGGGGAGCAAACGGG